GGGGUCCCUAGUACGAGGCCGUAGACCCGAAACCGUGUGAUCUACCCAUGUCCAGGGUGAAGGCAGGGUAAUGCCUGCUGGAGGCCCGAACCCACGCAUGUUGAAAAAUGCGGGGAUGAGGUGUGGGUAGCGGUGAAAUGCCAAUCGAACACGGAGAUAGCUGGUUCUCCCCGAAAUAGCUUUAGGGCUAGCCUCGGACGAUGAGUGCUGGAGGUAGAGCACUGAUUGGACUAGGGGCCCACACAGGGUUACCGAAUUCAGUCAAACUCCGAAUGCCAGUCACUUUAGUCCGGGAGUCAGACCACGAGUGAUAAGAUCCGUGGUCGAGAGGGAAACAGCCCAGACCAUCAGCUAAGGUCCCAAAGUGUACGUUAAGUGGAAAAGGAUGUGGCGUUGCUUAGACAACCAGGAUGUUGGCUUAGAAGCAGCCAUCAUUUAAAGAGUGCGUAAUAGCUCACUGGUCGAGUGACGCUGCGCCGAAAAUGUAACGGGGCUAAACGUACCACCGAAGCUAUGGAUCCGCAAGGAUGGUAGGGGAGCGUACCAAGGGCAUGGAAGCCGGACCGGAAGGACCGGUGGAGCGCUUGGUAGUGAGAAUGCCGGUGUGAGUAGCGAUAAGACAAGUGAGAAUCUUGUCCGCCGAAAGCCUAAGGUUUCCUGAGGAAGGUUCGUCCGCUCAGGGUUAGUCGGGACCUAAGCCGAGGCCGAAAGGCGUAGGCGAUGGGAAACAGGUUGAAAUUCCUGUACCACCUUUAGCCG
rnacentral:ncRNA from 1 species